rnacentral:misc_RNA from 1 species
GAUGAAGAACGUAGCGAAAUGCGAUAAGUAAUGUGAAUUGCAGAAUUCCGUGAAUCAUCGAAUCUUUGAACGCACAUUGCGCCCCCUGGUAUUCCGGGGGGCAUGCCUGUCCGAGCGUCAUUGCAACCUUCAAGCGCGGCUUGUGUGUUGGGUCUCGUCCCCCGUGGACGGGCCCGAAAGGCAGUGGCGGCGUCCCGACAUGGUGCCCGAGCGUAUGGGAAUCCUCUUCCGCUCGAAUCGGCCCAUGCGGCGCUGGUCGUAACCAAAUUUUUACCGGUUGACCUCGGAUCAGGUAGGGAUACCCGCUGAACUUAAGCAUAUCAAUAAGCGGAGGA